CUCAGUGGAUCCCUCGGCUCGUGGGUCGAUGAAGAACGGAGCAAGCUCCGUGUUGUCGUGUGAACUGCAGGACACAUGAACAUCGACACUUUGAACGCAAAUGGCGGCCCUCGGUCUUUGCACCUUGGGCCACUCCCGGCUGAGGGUCGGUUUAAAGAAACGAUUACCAGACUGCC
rnacentral:rRNA from 1 species